rnacentral:rRNA from 1 species
GCGUAGGGAUCUAUCCUUGGGUGGGGAGUAACUGUGGGAAACGUAACAGCUAAUACCGCAUGAUACCUGUGGGUCGAAAGGCGCGAGUCGCCUAAGGAGGAACCUGCGUACGAUUAGCUAGUUGGUGGGGUAAAGGCCUACCAAGGCGACGAUCGUUAGCUGGUCUGAGAGGAUGAUCAGCCACAUUGGGACUGAGACACGGCCCAAACUCCUACGGGAGGCAGCAGUGGGGAAUAUUGGACAAUGGGGGCAAACCCUGAUCCAGCAAUGCCGCGUGUGUGAAGAAGGUCUUCGGAUUGU